rnacentral:rRNA from 1 species
AUGGCGGACCGCGGGGGCUACGUGCAGGUGCAGCACGGGCAGUACGGCGGCGGGCACCACGGCGGGCAGCAGCAGCACGGGCGCCAGAUGGGGGAGCAGAUGAAGGGCAUGCUCCAGGAGAAGGCGCCGUCGGCGUCGCAGGCGCUGACGGUGGCGACGCUGUUCCCGCUGGGCGGGCUGCUGCUGGUGCUGUCGGGGCUGGCGCUGGCGGGCACCGUGGUGGGGCUGGCCGUGGCCACGCCCGUGUUCCUGCUCUUCAGCCCCGUGCUGGUCCCGGCCGCGCUCACCAUCGGCCUGGCCGUCACCGGGUUCCUCACCUCCGGCGCGCUGGGGCUGGGCGGCCUCUCCUCGCUCACCGUGUUGGCUAACACGGCCCGCCAGGCGUUCCAGCGCACCCCGGACUACGUGGAGGAGGCGCGCCAGCGCAUGGCCGACGCCGCCGCGGCCGCGGGGCACAAGACGCAGCAGGCCGGCCACGCCAUCCAGAGCCGCGCGGAGGAGGCGCGCGCCGGAGGAGGCGGCCACACCGGCGCCACCGGCGGAGCGGGCGCCGGCACCGGCACCAGGGCGUCGUCGUAA